rnacentral:rRNA from 1 species
CGGUAACAGGUCUUCGGAUGCUGACGAGUGGCGAACGGGUGAGUAAUACAUCGGAACGUGCCUAGUAGUGGGGGAUAACUACUCGAAAGAGUAGCUAAUACCGCAUGAGAUCUACGGAUGAAAGCAGGGGACCUUCGGGCCUUGUGCUACUAGAGCGGCUGAUGGCAGAUUAGGUAGUUGGUGGGGUAAAGGCUUACCAAGCCUGCGAUCUGUAGCUGGUCUGAGAGGACGACCAGCCACACUGGGACUGAGACACGGCCCAGACUCCUACGGGAGGCAGCAGUGGGGAAUUUUGGACAAUGGGCGAAAGCCUGAUCCAGCAAUGCCGCGUGCAGGAUGAAGGCCCUCGGGUUGUAAACUGCUUUUGUACGGAACGAAAAGCCUGGGGCUAAUAUCCCCGGGUCAUGACGGUACCGUAAGAAUAAGCACCGGCUAACUACGUGCCAGCAGCCGCGGUAAUACGUAGGGUGCAAGCGUUAAUCGGAAUUACUGGGCGUAAAGCGUGCGCAGGCGGUUUUGUAAGACAGUGGUGAAAUCCCCGGGCUCAACCUGGGAACUGCCAUUGUGACUGCAAGGCUAGAGUGCGGCAGAGGGGGAUGGAAUUCCGCGUGUAGCAGUGAAAUGCGUAGAUAUGCGGAGGAACACCGAUGGCGAA